CAGAAAUGCUGCUCUGUUUACCCAUGUUGCCCUUAUUUAAAAACAAAACAAAAGGGCCACUCCACCCUCGGCCCUUCAGCGUCAUGGCACCGGGGAAGGACAGGCGCUGCUAGGCAGACACUCCAUACGACAGUGGGGGUGUUGCUCCAAGUAACACAGUAAGAAGUGAACAAAGCUUCUUGGGAAACUCUCCCCUAAAGGAGCUGGGGCAGAGUUGGUGGAUUACUACACUGUCCCAGCCCGACCUCUGCUACAAUGCCUGGCAGCCCCAGGAAGUCAAUAAAGCUCUGUCAGUGGACCAAUGACCGG